GACGGAGGAUGCAAGCGUUUAUCCGGAAUGAUUGGGCGUAAAGCGUCCGCAGGUGGCAGUUCAAGUCUGCUGUCAAAGACCGGGGCUUAACUUCGGAAAGGCAGUGGAAACUGAACAGCUAGAGUAUGGUAGGGGCAGAGGGAAUUCCUGGUGUAGCGGUGAAAUGCGUAGAGAUCAGGAAGAACAUCGGUGGCGAAGGCGCUCUGCUGGACCAUAACUGACACUCAGGGACGGAAGCUAGGGGAGCGAAUGGG
rnacentral:rRNA from 1 species